CCUACGGGUGGCAGCAGUGAGGAAUAUUGGUCAAUGGCCGUAAGGCUGAACCAGCCAAGUAGCGUGAGGGAAGACUGCCCUAUGGGUUGUAAACCUCUUUUAUGCGGGGAUAAAGGUGUCCACGUGUGGAUGUUUGCAGGUACCGCAUGAAUAAGGACCGGCUAAUUCCGUGCCAGCAGCCGCGGUAAUACGGAAGGUCCGGGCGUUAUCCGGAUUUAUUGGGUUUAAAGGGAGCGUAGGCCGGUCUUUAAGCGUGCCGUGAAAUUUUGUGGCUCAACCAUAGAAUUGCCGUUGAAACUGGGAGGCUUGAGUAUGUUUGAGGCAGGCGGAAUGCGUGGUGUAGCGGUGAAAUGCUUAGAUAUCACGCAGAACUCCGAUUGCGAAGGCAGCUUACUAAACUGCCACUGACAUUGAUGCUCGAAAGUGUGGGUAUCAAACAGGAUUAGAUACCCUGGUAGUC
rnacentral:rRNA from 1 species